rnacentral:rRNA from 1 species
CCCUUAGAUGUUAUGGGCCGCACGCGCGCUACACUGAUGCAUUCAACGAGUCUAAAACCUGCUCUGAUAGGGGUGGGUAAUCUUUUGAAUGUGCAUCGUGAUUGGGAUAGAUGAUUGCAAUUUUUCAUCUUCAACGAGGAAUGCCUAGUAAACGCAAGUCAUCAGCUUGCAUUGAUUACGUCCCUGCCCUUUGUACACACCGCCCGUCGCUCCUACCGAUUGAAUGAUCCGAUGAAUAUCAUGGAUUGAGGAUGCAAGCAGGUUCGCCUGUCUUCAUCUUCGAGAAGUGAAGUAAAUCUUAUCAUUUAGAGGAAGGAGAAGUCGUAACA